AUACUUAGCUGGUAUGGGAAAUACCAUUAUCACGAAGCUGGUUUUCUCAGGGUGAGGCUUAUCCACUGCCUUCAAGGUGUUCUGACCCCUGUUAUUUGCAAUGUUGCCAAGUCCACUGCAUAAUUUGUGGUAGUGGGGAACUGUGUUCCCACUCUGCCUUG